GGCCCAGAGAGCCUUCCGCAGCCCCGCAGUUCCACCCAUCGCCCGCAACCCCGAGCGCCUCCUCGCCUAGCAUCUCACCGUCGCUGGAGACCGGCGACCUCCUGUGCUGGACGACCGGUGCCCGACCUCGGCGGAGCUCUACCGGAACCACCACUGCCAGGCCGCCCCCUGCCCUUCCCUUUUUCCUCUCUGUCUCCCUCUCAUCUCACGAUCUCUCUUUCUCUCUUUCUCUGUACAGGAGCGCCAUGGCACUGCCGCUUUGACCUCCAUCGACCGCUGCCGUCUCGUUCGACCACCUCCCUCGUCGACUCUGGACGUGCCCACGGAUCCGGUCAUCUGCAGGCCAUCUCCGACGCCGCCUCGCCGGAGUCCCGUCAGGAGCACCACGCCAGAGCCUGCAGGUUCUUCUCCGAGCUCCUGCCGCCCUCAUUCCACGCGCCUCUGGCCGGAUUGGACGCCCCAAGCCCGGAUCCCGCCGUCCUGGACCACCUUGAUUCGCCUUGGUCUACCGCCGCUGCCCAUCGCGCCGCCCUUCUGCAAGUCCCGCUGCCGGUCAAGCCCCUGCAUCGAGCUCUUCUUCCUCUGCAACGAGCAGAGCGCAGCCGCUCGCCCCGUUGACCGCGCCUCGCUCAAGACCGCGCCUGGGCUGCCUUCCCUCGAUCACCAGAGGCCCAGCCUGCCUCCCCUUCGCUAGCUCAGCCCAGCCGCAAGCCAGCGCCAGGCCUCCCUCCUCCCACCGAAUGGGCCUUGGCCCAUGGUGAGGCCAACCCCAUUGCGCCCUCCUUUUUUUCUGUUCUUUUUUUCCACAGUUGGGUCAGAUCUCAGAUUCGGCCCAUAUCCUUUUUUUCCUGCCUCUGCGUUUUUAGUAUUUUUCCAGAGACAGCAGAAUUGCAGUAAAGCCCUCAAACUUCAUGCAUUUUAUUACUCGCAAACAGUGCAUCAUAUUAAAACAAACUUAAUACGAAAAUGCUUAGAAUUUCAUCUAGUUUAAUAAUAUGCCACUUUCAUCCAUGUUUAAAAUGUCUAAAAUGAUGUUUGUUUAAAUUUGCUCAUAUAGCUUGUUAAAAUGCUUUAAUUCAUAACUAUUUAACCGUAACUCGGAAUUUAAUAAUCUUUAUAUGUAAAUGGGGUGGAAAAAUGCCUGGUUUAACAUGGUCUACUUGCUUUGCAUGUUUAACAUCUAAAAAAAUUGGUUUAGGGCAGAACAGUACCAAACCUAAUAUAUGGAUGGGGUUUUACCGGAAUUGUUGUUCGUUGUUUCCGGCCUCAUUUAAACUUGCCUAGAUAGGUAGUUUUGUUGUGCUUCACCCCUUGCCAUGCUAACCAACAUUUAAUUUUGUUGAGUACAUAAACGAGAGAGAACUAAAUAAGGCAUGUGGUGCUCCGUCAAUAUGCAACCCGUUGCAUAUUGAGCUCCACUUAACUUGUAGUGUUGUUUGUGCACUUUGCCAUGCCAUGCUUCAUUAAACCGGACAUGCAUCAUAAUUGUUUGUGCAUCAUGCCAUGCUUAUGUGGUGGUUGUUUACCAUGAUUGUUUGCUUCUUUCCGGUGUGGCUUCUUCGGGUUGGUUCCGAUAACGUCGCGUUUGUGAGGAACCGUUCGACUACGUCAGUUUGUCUUCUUCAUGGACUCGUUCUUCUUCCUUGCGGGAUUUCAGGCAAGAUGAUCAUACCCUCGAAAUCACUUCUAUCUUUGCUUGCUAGUUGCUCGCUCUUUUGCUAUGCCUAUACUGCGAUACCUACCACUUGCUUAUCAUGCCUCCCAUAUUGUUGAACCAAGCCUCUAACCCACCUUGUCCUAGCAAACCGUUGUUUGGCUAUGUUACUGCUCUGCUCAGCCCCUCUUAUAGUGUUGUUAGUUGCAGGUGAAGAUUGAAGUUUGUUCCUUGUUGGAACAUGGAGAUGUUGUUCCUUGUUGGAACAUGUAGAUGUUGUUCCUUGCUGGAACAUGUUUACUUAUUGGGAUAUCACAAUAUCUCUUAUUUAAUUAAUGCAUCUAUAUACUUAGUAAAGGGUGGAAGGCUCGGCCUUAUGCCUGGUGUUUUGUUCCACUCUCGCCGCCCUAGUUUCCAUCAUAUCGGUGUUAUGUUCCCGGAUUUUGCGUUCCUUACGCGGUUGGGUUAUAAUGGGAACCCCUUGACAGUUCGCCUUGAAUAAAACUCCUCCAGCAAUGCCCAACAUUGGUUUUACCAUUCGCCACCUAGCCUUUUUUUCCCUUGGGUUCUACAGACUCAAGGGUCAUCUUUAUUUAAACCACCCUCGGGCCAGUGCUCCUCUGAGUGUUGGUCCAAACAGAGCCACUUGCAGCGCCACCUCGGGGAAACUCGAGGUUUGGUUUUAGUUGUACGUAGUGUUCAUCUGAGUGUGCCCUGAGAACGAGAUAUGUGCAGCUCCUAUCGGGAUUUGUCGGCACAUUCGGGCGGUGUUGCUGGACUUGUUUUACCUUGUCGAAAUGUCUUGUAACCGGGAUUCCGAGUCUGAUCGGGUCUUCCCGCUAGAAGGAAUAUCCUUCGUUGAUCAUGAGAGCUUGUGAUGGGCUAAGUUGGGACUCCCCUGCAGGGAUUUGAACUUUCGAAAGCCGUGCCCGUGGUUAUGGGCAGAUGAGAAUUUGUUAAUAUCCGGUUGUAGAAAACCUGAAGUUGACCUUAAUUAAAAUGCAUCAACCGCGUGUGUAACCGUGAUGGUCUCUUCUCGGCGGAGUCCGGGAAGUGAACACGGUGUUGGGGUAAUGCUUGACGUAGGUUGUUCUAGGAUCACUUCUUGAUCAUAGAUUCUCGACCGUGCUUUUGCCUUCUCUUCUCGCUCUCAUUUGCGUAUGUUAGCCACCAUAUAUGCUAGUCGCUUGCUGCAGCUCCACCUCAUACCUUUUACCUUACCUAUAAGCUUAAAUAGUCUUGAUCGCGAGGGUGCGAGAUUGCUGAGUCCCCGUGACUCAGUUACAUCCAAAACCAGCUUGCAGGUGCCGAUGAGUCCGUGCAGAUGACGCAACCAAGCUCAAGGAGGAGCUCGAUGAAGCUCUUGUCCUUUGUGUUGUUUCGUUCUAGUUGAUCAGUAGUGAAGCCGAGUUGGGGUCGAUUGGGGACCUUGUCGCAUUUGGGGUUCUUCUUUUAUUUUGGUUCCGUAGUCGGACCUUGAUUGUAUUUGGAUGAUGUAAUGCUUUAUUCAUGUAAUUGUGUGAAGUGGCGAUUGUAAGCCAACUAUGUAUCUUUCCCCCUAUUGUAUUAUAUGGGUUGUUUGCGAAGAUUACCUCACUUGUGACAUUGCUUUCAAUGCGGUUAUGCCUCUAAGUCGUGCUUCGACACGUAGGAGAUAUAGCCGCAUCGAGGGUGUUACAAGUUGGUAUCAGAGCAUUCCCCGACCUUAGGAGCCCCAUUGCUUGAUCGAAUUAGCUGACGUUGUUGAGUCUAGAAAAAAUGUUUUGAGUCAUUUAGGAUUAUAUAUAUCGUAGAGUUAGGACUUCUUUUUACUCCUCAGUCCAUUCAUCGCUCUGGUAAGGCAUCCUGACGUAGAGUUUUGACUCUUCUCUUCUCAAAUUUCACUAAAAAAAUUAGGAUCACGCGGGUAUCUUGGAAUCGUUACGAUGGUUUUAUGACGAAAACAUUGUUCUUGGUGCCUCCUGUCAUUUAGGGGUUGUGGCGGUGUCCCGGGGAGUUGAGCUCCGAGGUGUUGUCGUCACAAUUUUAUCGUUGCAGUUCUGGAAUACUUGAGUUUAGUUUCGCCGACAUCGAAAAUCUUUUUUAUGCAGUUGUUGGUGAGAUAACCUCGACGCCACCCAGUACUGGGGCGGGAGUUCGGAAGUAUUGCCAUAACUUGUAUAACGGAUGCUUUUCGAAGGUUGAGGUAGACGAUUUCCGAAGUUUUUCUUGGUUAUGUGUUGAAGGAUGGAUACAGCUGGAUGUAGGAUUUGCUAGUUUUGGGUGAGAUAUCAUGCUUCCCCUGUAUCCCCAACACCUGAUUGCAUAACCGGAAAGUUUCGGGAGUUUGUAAGUGGGAAUUCAAGUAACUCUUAAGAUAUCUUUCCGACAGAUGUAUGAUAUGAAAUUGGGGUUCGACGUCUAGUGGUCCGCCUAUCCACGGUUGGUUUUACAGUGGUCUCGUUGUGUCUUAAAGAGUCCUUGGCUAUGCCGACUCGGGGACGCUUCUUAUGUCAUGUGCACUGCCUUAUACAUGAUGGUGUUGUACGAUCGAGCCCGUGUAGGCCUCACCACGAAAACUUCGAACGAAAUCUCUAUCAUAUGUUUGUUCCGGCUUAUUCUGCAAGACAAUCCUUUGUUUUGUUUUGAGUUGUGGUAUUCGAGUUGCUUCGAAGUCAUAUGUUGAUUCCAUACUUUUCCUAAACGGUGUUCUUAUACUCCUAUGUGAAUGCAAUCCUUCUCGAUCAUCGAGAUAGUUAUGUCAAUUCUUUUUCCAACCGUGUUUUCUCUUCAAGUGGAUCCGAUCAUUUCAACAUCAGUAAGAUCAAUUAUCAUUUCUUCUCAACGGUGUUUGUUUCAUCUAUCCCAAGUUGUCUUUGUUUUCCCACCCUCCCUCCCCUUGUUUCUUCAAGGACUCUCUUCUUCAAGUAUCCAUUUUAUUGAUGGGAAGUCUCUCCAUGUUUUUCGUCAAUGUUCUUAUUCGGUGAUUCUCAUGAAGAUUUUAAUGGAGUUUCAAGUUCAUCAUUCUUCGUUCUUUUCUUCUCCGGUGGUUUCAAGUCAAGCUUUGUUGAUCAUACCCUUUCCUCAUGUCAAUGCUUUCUCAUGCCGGUGCAAUUCUUAAUCAUUCACUUCUCGUUAUUCAAUUGUUCUAGAGUGCUCAAGAUAUUUCGAAGAUUCAUGUUACGACACUGCUUUCGUUCAAACUCUUUCGAGAAUGUUAUAUCAUUUAAGCCUUUUAAUUCAACCGGUGCAAUCUCUCUUUUCAAAUAAUCGUUCAACGGUGUAUCUUUUGAAUGGGCCCUAACCCACAGGUCUUUUCCCAGGAUUUUACCUGACUCUUCUAUUUUCCCGGAGCUAUCCUAAUUUUUUUUUAAGUUUGACGUAAGAAUGAGUUAUCAUCAAUCAAAUGCCUUCUCCAAGAUCGUUUUCAAAUUCUUUUUAUUGUUGGCUCUACCUCUUCGCUUUUCAUUCUCUCGGAGUAUCUCAACAAUUCUUGAUGGUGUUCCUCGUCGUUAUUCUUGGAUUUUGAAGAUCAAAGAAGAGUUUUACCUCCAUAUCUUAUACGUUCUCACAGAGAUUCGUGGUUCUAGUUCGAGACCAUCCUCUCAUAAUUGUUUUUGAUUGUGAGAAGUCCUUUCACCUAUCUGGAAUCCAUCAAUUCAGGUUUAUUCAUUCUCGGCUUUCAGCUAUGGUUCUCCAAAUCUUACCGGUGCUUCGUUCAAGUAUCUCUAAUCAGUUCGUGAUCCCUUUGUUCUCAUGUAUCUAAAUCCUCUCAAGCAUCUUCGUUCAUUUUAUAAUUCUUCCCGAUGCUUCUUUAUUUUUUUUCUUCGUUCAUUUUCAAUUCUUACGGUGGUUCUUUCAAGAGUUCUUUUUCCUUCGUUUAUCAUAUUAAUUCAUUCGUUGUUCCAAUCCUAUCGGUGGUUCGUUGAAGACGUUCUCAAGUUUUGAUAUAUCUCUUUUAAUCCUUUCUACGAGAAUAAAUAGUAUGCCAAAUCCAUUGAUUAUCAUCAAUUUAAUUGAUGAAAGAUAAGCAUAAUGUAAUUCUUAUUCUUGUUUCAUCCAAGUGAUUAAUUCCUUAUUCCGAAGGUGCAUCAUAUCACAUUCUGGGUUCGAGAUGCUUUAUCUUUUCUUUUCUCGGAGUUCCUAACUCUCGCAAUUACAUCACCACGGAGAUUCAUUUAAAUCAUUGCAAGUCUUCACCUUGUGUUUCCAUCUUCUCUUGCCUUCCGUUUAGGCAUUUUUUUUGGUUUAACGGAGUUCUUCGGGAAGGUUCUACAUGUUGGUUCAUAAAGGAUUUAAUUUCUACUUGAAGUGUUCAUCAAGAUUCUUUUCUAAGAAACUCAAGCUUUUUUCAUAUUGUAAUCUGGAGUGCAUUCUUUCUAUCAUAUUAUUGGAGGUGGUAUUAUGUCAUUCUUGAUAAUUUGAGUUCAUGUUUCAUAAUUCACAUGUUGUCAAGGGUGAGAUAUUUUAAAUCCAUCAUUUUCUUCAUUGGAAUUAUCUUGGGUAUUUCACCUAAAGCUUUCCUUUAAGGAUUGUCGCUCUUAUGGUGUUUAUCAAUGAUCCAAUUUCUUCAUUUAUCCUUUCCGGUGCGAUAUACUUUCUCGUCUCCUUGUUCAUAUCAAUACAAUUCUUUUCCCGUGAGUGGCAGGUUGUCACCUCAUAAUUUGAGAUGUACUCCAUAAGAUCAUAUCAAGUUUAUUCUUUCAUUGUUGGCUUUCCAAAACUCCGUUUGACCCUUCUUCUUAAGAUGCCUUUUCAAACUCUUUUGUGGCAGAAGUUGGCAUUUUCUUCAACAUUCUAUUAUUUCAAUUAUCUAUCUUCUAUUUCUUUCUCUCGGAGGCAUUGUGUUGCUGCUCUCUUCAAACCUUCUUCUUGCUCUUGUCAAGAGCAUGUUUUUUUCGUGCUUAUUCAUUUAACCGGAGUGCUGUCUGAGAUCUUUCUUACCCCUUAUUACAUUCAUUCAAUAGUUACGGAGGUAGUGUAUUAUGAUUUCAUCAAGUAUCUUCUCAUCUUAUCAAGUUCUUAUUCAAUUUCUUUUCUUUUCAAUCGGAGUGCUGCCCGAAGUUGUUCUUCCUUGUUCCUCUUUUCUAACGGAAUGUUUUCAACUUAGUUCAUCUUCGUCGUAUUUUUUUCUCGAAAUAGCUUAACCUUUGCAAGAUUUUUUGGUUUCACUCAUUGGUCAAAGAAGCAACUUAGUUUUACCUCUUUUCUUUCUCUUUCGUUUUCCCCGGUGCCAUCCUAGAUCUCGGGACCAGAUCCUCUCGUAGUGGUGGAGUGUUGUAACACCCCGAGACCGAUGUGCCAGGUGUCCUCCAGUUAUUCGCCGGCGUUGCCAUGUCAUUUGCUUGCGUGUUGCUUUUCAUCAUGCCAUCAUGUGCAUUGCAUCAUCAUGUUUUUGAAACUUGCAUCCGUCCUGGCCUCCUCGUUCUCUCCUUUGUCCGUUCUGAGCCCAAACACACUUGCACGCGCCCGCAGCACGUCCAAAUAUUAUUUUUAUAGGUGGCCGGAUAAUGUUCUCGGAAUGGGAUGAGAGUUGGCCUGCGGUGUUGUUUUAUUGUUAGUAGACCGCCUGCCAAGUUUCAUCGCGUUCAGAGUCCGUUUGACGCCCUAACUAUAGCGACAUUAUAGUCGGUCAAAACGUUGGACGUUUUCGGUCUCCGGAAACAGUCGCCAGGCCUCUCCUCUUCUCUCUUCUCAGCCCUCUGCCUUCUGCACUAACUCUCACCGCCAGGCCCUACCUAACCUCUCUCGUCUGCCCGCGGACCUCCUCCCGCGCGCGUCCGAAAUCUGUACCGGACCCGACUCGGACAGUCGUUACCGCUGUGUCCGGAUCAUCCCCAAACAUCUCUAACAUAUCUUCGGUUAUUUGUUUGGUCCAUCUAACCUAUUUUAUCUCGAUCAUCCAAUUUUAAUCGGAUGAUCCAAACUCCCCUCUUCUCUCUAUAUAUAGUCCACCUACAUACCAAAUAUGGCUAAACCAAACCCUAGCCUAGCUCCUCCCCCUACCCCACAGCCGCCGCCACUCUCUCCUCGCAAUCCGCAUGCGCCCAGUCCCCUGCUUCCACUUGGCCAGAUCCACCAGCCAACCCCCACUCGAUCUGGACCGUCCGAUCUCAGAUCCGACGGCCCAGAGAGCCUUCCGCAGUUCCACCCAUCGCCCGCAGCCCCGAGCGCCUCCUCGCCUAGCAUCUCACCGUCGCUGGAGACCGGCGACCUCCUGUGCUGGACGACCGGUGCCCGACCUCGGCGGAGCUCUACCAGAACCACCACUGCCAGGCCGCCCCCUGCCCUUCCCUUUUUCCUCUCUGUCUCCCUCUCGUCUCACGAUCUCUCUUUCUCUCUUUCUCUGUACAGGAGCGCCAUGGCACUGCCGCUUUGACCUCCAUCAACCGCUGCCGUCUCUUUCGACCACCUCCCUCGUCGACUCUGGACGUGCCCAUGGAUCCGGUCGUCUGCAGGCCAUCUCCUACGCCGCCUCGCCGGAGUCCCGUCAGGAGCACCACGCCAGAGCCUGCAGGUUCUUCUCCGAGCUCCUGCCGCCCUCAUUCCACGCGCCUCCGGUCGAAUUGGACGCCCCAAGCCCGGAUCCCGCUGUCCUGGACCACCUUGAUUCGCCUUGGUCUACCGCCGCUGCCCAUCGCGCCGCCCUUCUGCAAGUCCCGCUGUCGGUCAAGCCCCUGCAUCGAGCUCUUCUUCCUCUGCAACGAGCAGAGCGCAGCCGCUCGCCCCGUUGACCGCGCCUCGCUCAAGACCGCGCCUGGGCUGCCUUCCCUCGAUCACCAGAGGCCCAGCCUGCCUCCCCUUCGCUAGCUCAGCCCAGCCACAAGCCAGCGCCAGGCCUCCCUCCUCCCAUCGAAUGGGCCUUGGCCCAUGAUGAGGCCAACCCCAUUGCGCCCUUCUUUUUUUCUGUUCUUUUUUUCCGCAGUUGGGUCAGAUCUCAGAUUCGGCCCAUAUCCUUUUUUUCCUGCCUCUGCGUUUUUAGUAUUUUUCCGGAGACAGCAGAAUUGCAGUAAAGCCCUCAAACUUCAUGCAUUUUAUUACUCACAAACAGUGCAUCAUAUUAAAACAAACUUAAUACAAAAAAUGCUUAGAAUUUCAUCUAGUUUAAUAAUAUACCACUUUCAUCCAUGUUUAAAAUGUCUAAAAUGAUGUUUGUUUAAAUUUGCUCAUAUAGCUUGUUAAGAUGCUUUAAUUCAUAACUAUUUAACCGUAACUCGGAAUUUAAUAAUCUUUAUAUGUAAAUGGGGUGAAAAAAUGCCUAGUUUAACAUGGUCUACUUGCUUUGCAUGUUUAACAACUAAAAAAUUUGGUUUAGGGCAGAACAGUACCAAACCUAAUAUAUGGAUGGGGUUUUACCGGAAUUGUUGUUUGUUGUUUUCGGCCUCAUUUAAACUUGCCUAGAUAGAUGUUUUGUUGUGCUUCACCCCUUGCCACGCUAACCAACAUUUAAUUUUAUUGAGUACAUAAACGAGAGAGAACUAAAUAAGGCAUGUGGUGCUCCGUCAAUAUGCAACCCGUUACAUAUUGAGCUCCACUUAACUUGUAGUGUUGUUUGUGCACUUUGCCAUACCAUGCUUCAUUAAACCGGACAUGCAUCAUAAUUGUUUGUGCAUCAUGCCAUGCUUAUGUGGUGGUUGUUUACCAUGAUUGUUUUCUUCUUUCCGGUGUGGCUUCUUUGGGUUGGUUCCGAUAACGUCGCGUUUGUGAGGAACCGUUCGACUACGUCAGUUUGUCUUCUUCAUGGACUCGUUCUUCUUCCUUGCGGGAUUUCAGACAAGAUGAUCAUACCCUCAAAAUCACUUCUAUCUUUGCUUGCUAGUUGCUCGCUCUUUUGCUAUGCCUAUGCUGCGAUACCUACCACUUGCUUAUCAUGCCUCCCAUAUUGUUGAACCAAGCCUCUAACCCACCUUGUCCUAGCAAACCGUUGUUUGGCUAUGUUACUGCUUUGCUCAGCCCCUCUUAUAGUGUUGUUAGUUGCAGAUGGAGAUUGAAGUUUGGUCCUUGUUGGAACAUGGAGACGUUGUUCCUUGUUGGAACAUGUUUACUUGUGGGGAUAUCACAAUAUCUCUUAUUUAAUUAAUGCAUCUAUAUACUUGGUAAAGGGUGGAAGGCUCGGCCUUAUGCCUGGUGUUUUGUUCCACUCUCGCCGCCCUAAUUUUCAUCAUAUCGGUGUUAUGUUCCCGGAUUUUGCGUUCCUUACGCGGUUGGGUUAUAAUGGGAACCCGUUGACAGUUCGCCUUGAAUAAAACUCCUCCAGCAAUGCCCAACAUUGGUUUUACCAUUCGCCACCUAGCCUUUUUUUCCCUUAGGUUCUGCAGACUCAAGGGUUAUCUUUAUUUAAACCCCCCUCGGGCCAGUGCUCCUCUGAGUGUUGGUCCAAACAGAGCCACUUGCAGCGCCACCUCUGGAAAACUCGAGGUUUGGUUUUAGUUGUACGUAGUGUUCAUCUGAGUGUGCCCUGAGAACGAGAUAUGUGCAGCUCCUAUCGGGAUUUGUCGACACAUUCGGGCGGUGUUGCUGGACUUGUUUUAUCUUGUCGAAAUGUCUUGUAACCGGGAUUCCGAGUCUGAUCGGGUCUUCCCGCUAGAAGGAAUAUCUUUCGUUGACCGUGAGAGCUUGGGAUGGGCUAAGUUAGGACUCCCCUGCAGGGAUUUGAACUUUCGAAAGCCAUGCCCGUGGUUAUGGGCAGAUGAGAAUUUGUUAAUAUCCGGUUGUAGAAAACCUGAAGUUGACCUUAAUUAAAAUGCAUCAACCGCGUGUGUAACCGUGAUGGUCUCUUCUCGGCGGAGUCCGGGAAGUGAACACGGUGUUGGGGUAAUGCUUGACGUAGGUUGUUCUAGAUUCACUUCUUGAUCAUAGAUUCUCGACCGUGCUUUUGUCUUCUCUUCUCGCUCUCAUUUGCGUAUGUUAGCCACCAUAUAUGCUAGUCGCUUGCUGCAGCUCCACCUUAUACCUUUUACCUUACCUAUAAGCUUAAAUAGUCUUGAUCGCGAGGGUGCGAGAUUGCUGAGUCCCCGUGACUCACAGUUACUUUCAAAACCAGCUUGUAGGUGUCGAUGACUCCGUGCAGAUGACGCAACCAAGCUCAAGGAGGAGCUCGAUGAAGAUCUUAUCCUUUCUGUUGUUUCGUUCUAGUUGAUCAGUAGUGAAGCCCAGUUGGGGUCGAUCGGGGACCUUGUCGCAUUUGGGGUUCUUCUUUUAUUUUGAUUCCGUAGUCGGACCUUGAUUGUAUUUGGAUGAUGUAAUGCUUUAUUCAUGUAAUUGUGUGAAGUGGCGAUUGUAAGCCAACUAUGUAUCUUUUCCCGUAUUGUAUUACAUGGGUUGUUUGUGAAGAUUACCUCACUUGCGAUAUUGCUUUCAAUGCGGUUAUGCCUCUAAGUCGUGCUUCGACACGUGGGAGAUAUAGCCGCAUCGAGGGCGUUACAGCCGCUCCGGCCUGACGAGCCCGAAGAUGAAACCAAAGAGGAGGGAGGGAGCUCACCCAAGUCAAUCGCAGACGAACGGCCGCCGGAGCAAGUCCCGCCGUCGCCGCGAAAGACCAGGUCACCACGAGGUUGC
rnacentral:lncRNA from 1 species